rnacentral:rRNA from 1 species
UAAUACGGAGGUGGCAAGCGUUGUUCGGAUUUAUUGGGUGUAAAGGGCAUGUAGGCGUUCUAAUAAGUCCUGAUUGAAAUCCUUCGGCUCAACCGAAGAACUGGUUAGGAAACUAUUAGAAUUGAGUUCAGGAGAGGAGAGCGGAAUUCUCGGUGUAAGGGUGAAAUCUGUAGAUAUCGAGAAGAACACCAGUGGCGAAGGCGGUUCUCUGGCCUGAAACUGACGCUGAUAUGCGAAAGCUAGGGGAGCGAACAGGAUUAGAUACCCUGGUAGUCCUAGCCGUAAACGAUGGACACUAGGUGUAUUCGCCUAUAAGCGGAUGUGCCGAAGUUAACGCAUUAAGUGUCCCACCUGGGGAGUACGUCGGCAACGAUG